CCUACGGGAGGCAGCAGUGGGGAAUAUUGCACAAUGGGGGAAACCCUGAUGCAGCGACGCCGCGUGAGUGAAGAAGUAUUUCGGUACGUAAAGCUCUAUCAGCAGGGAAGACAAUGACGGUACCUGACUAAGAAGCCCCGGCUAACUACGUCCCAGCAGCCGCGGUAAUACGGAGGGGGCAAGCGUUCUCCGGAUUGACUGGGGGUAAAGGGAGCGUGGACGGCUAUGCAAGUCUGAAGUGAAAGGCGGGGGCCCAACCCCUGGACUGCUUUGGACACUGGAUGGCUGGAGUGCAGGAGAGGUAAGUGGAAUUCCUAGUGUAGCGGUGAAAUGCGUAGAUAUUAGGAGGAACACCAGUGGCGAAGGCGGCUUACUGGAAUGUAACUGACGUUGAGGCUCGAAAGCGUGGGGAGCAAACAGGAUUAGAUACCCUAGUAGUC
rnacentral:rRNA from 1 species